GGACUACAGGGGUAUCUAAUCCUGUUUGCUCCCCUAGCUUUCGUGCCUCAGCGUCAGCUAUAGCCCAGAAAUCCGUCUUCACCACUGGUGUUCUUCCACAUAUCUACGCAUUUCACCGCUACACGUGGAAUUCCGAUUUCCCUAACUACGCUCCAGCUAUACAGUUUCGAAUGCAGCUCCACAGUUGAGCCGUGGAAUUUCACAUCCGACUUAUAUUGCCGCCUACGCACCCUUUACGCCCAGUAAUUCCGAUCAAUGCUUGCACCCUCCGUAUUACCGCGGCUGCUGGCAC
rnacentral:rRNA from 1 species